UACGUAGGGCGCAAGCGUUGUCCGGAUUUAUUGGGCGUAAAGAGCUCGUAGGCGGUCUGUCGCGUCGGCUGUGAAAACCCGAGGCUCAACCUCGGGCCUGCAGUCGAUACGGGCAGACUAGAGUGCGGCAGGGGAGACUGGAAUUCCUGGUGUAGCGGUGAAAUGCGCAGAUAUCAGGAGGAACACCGGUGGCGAAGGCGGGUCUCUGGGCCGUAACUGACGCUGAGGAGCGAAAGCGUGGGGAGCGAACAGG
rnacentral:rRNA from 1 species